rnacentral:lncRNA from 1 species
CACUCUGUAUGCAACUGAAUUCUGCGAAUAUCCUAAGAAUAUGCCUUCAUCAGCUUUAGCUUGGAAUUUGGACAAAUUAUCUUUGAGAUUCAUGAUAAAACACCUGCAACCAAAAACAUGAAAGAAUUUGACAUUAGGUUUCCUAUUAUUGAUUAUUUCAUAUGGAGUAACAUUGAAUCUUCGAUGAAUGAAUGAUCGAUUUUGAGUAAAACAUGCAGUGGAAACUGCUUCAGCCCAAAGAUAUUGAGGUCGAUUCGCAUAUGUUAACAUGGUUCUAGCUGCUUCACAUAGAGAUCGAUUUCUUCUUUCAACAACACCAUUUUGUUGCGGAGUAUAUGGUGAUGAGAAAUUAUGCGAAAUGCCUUUGCUUGUGAGAAAAGAAUCAAGAGUUUGAUUUUUAAACUCAGAACCAUUAUCACUUUUAAUUUUGCGAACAUUCUUUUUCAGACUAAGCUCAAUCUUUUUGAUAAAAUCAAUCAUCGUCUGAGCAACUUCAGAUUUUAACCUGAGAAAAAAUACCCAUGUGAAUCGAGAAAAAUCAUCUACAAUAACUAAAAUGUACCGCUUUUUAUUGAUUGUAGCAACAGUCGACGGUCCACAUAAGUCAAUGUGAAGAAGUUCCAAUGGUUCUACGAUUUUUGAAUCUAUCACAAUCGGAUGACCUUUUCGAUGUUGUUUUCCUUGUUCGCAAGCUGCACACAAAGAAUCAUUGUCAAAUUUUAGUACUGGUAACCCUCGAACUAAAUCUUCAGUGACAAGUUUAUUAAUAUUUCGAAAGUUCAAGUGUGACAAUCUUCUAUGCCAAAGCCAGCUGAGAUCAUUAGAUGCUUUUGAUAGUAAACACACAGCAGGUUUUCCCACAAUUGGUUUGAUGUCCAGUGUAAACAUAUCACCAUAUCUUUUGGAUUUGAGAAGUACUUCAUUUGACUUCGCAUUUGAAAUGAUACUUCCUUCUUCAUUAAAUACAACUUGGUUUCCAGUACCAACAACAAGUUGUGACACACUUAUCAAAUUAUGUUGAAGUCCUUCAACAUAAGCAACUCUGUUCACAGUGAAUUGUCCAUUUGUGACUUUCCCAUAGCCUUUCACUUGACACUUGUGAUUAUUCCCAAAUUUGACUACUCCUGCAUUUUCCAAGCUUCUAUAAUCUCGCAAGUUUUCCUUUCUUCCAGUCAUAUGACGAGAGCAACCACUAUCAAUAUACCAUUUCGUAUCAUAUUGCUCGUCACACAUCACCUGCAUUUAUUGAAAGAAUUUAGGAACCCAAGACUUGUUGGGUCCAUCAUUAGUAGAAUGAAACAAAUUCUUUGAAUUUAAAAACCAUGUUUUCACUUUGUUUGUGACAGAAUCCAUUAUAUCAACAUCAUCAGAUCUAGAUAUUGAAAUAUAGUCGUUCAAUAGUUUUGGAUUUCCAUUGAUUGUAAUCUUAUCCUUCACAACAUUCGCAUUUUUGAUAACUGGUUUCCAUUUUUGAACUGGAACUUGCGAAUGAUGAGAUGAUGAACUAGCAGUGGAAGAGUUAUUUGCGAACUUAUCAAAUGCAUUCUUGAUUUGUUGCUCUGAAAACUUCCCACUUUGAUAUUUUCUUCCUUUCCCUUCAAACCAACGAUUGAUCGUACUUACAUCAGAUUUUCCUUUUGUAUAUGAAACUUUGGUCGGUUUUGAGACUGAAGGAUUUGGAAAAUUUGGUUGUUUUGGUGAAAAUUUCACUUUUGCUUGAGUUGAAUUUUUCAAACUUGAUGAAGUAUUCGUGAAUUUGCCAACAUUUUGAAACUUUUGAUUAUUUACAAAUUUUUGCGAAUUCUCAAAUUUUCGAUUGUUGUCAUAUUUGCGAACAUAUGGAAUUUUGUCAACAGAAUUUAUUGGUUUAUGAAAACUUGAAUCUGUUUGUUUAUUUUUGCUUUGAAAUUUUGAUGAUGUUGUUUUUGAAAUUUGUUCUUUUUCAGCUCUUGGUUUGUCAUUUGACACAACUUGCCAGAAAAUUGCUUUUCUUGCUUUUCUUUUUGAAACAUUAUUUUCUGUUGAAUAAUUUCCAACCAUCAAUUUGAAUUCAUGAGAAUUUAAUUUCACUUCAGCCUUUGGUUUUUCAACUUUUUCAAAAACUUUGUUUGGUUUUUCACCUUUAACCACCCAUUUUUGUAUUGAUUUUUGUUUUUGAAACACAUAAGAAUUUUGAGUUAAUUUGUUUUCUUCUGUGUUUUGAUUUGCAAAAAAACCUUCAGUGGUUGACCUUAGAUUAUAUUUUUCAAUCAUUUUGUUGAAUUCAGGAUGAAUUUUCUCAGCAUUUCCAGUAGUGACAAAAACUUGAUUUGGAAAAAUGGUUUUAUCAGUGCAUACAAAAUUUGGAUAUACCACAGUGUUGGUUUCCAAAUAAUGUGCGCCUUUGUCAUUUAAAAUUUUGUCAAAUUCUUUUGUAUUUUCAAACACUUGAUCAACCACAACUCGUGGAGGUAUUUCAUGUGAAUCUUUCACUUCUUCUUUGUUUUCAUCAGUAUCAUCAGAUUUCCAGCUUUCAACUUCCACAUUAUCAAACUUACAAUGUUGCGAAGUUGAAGGUUUAUCAAUUUCAUCAUCUACUAUUGAAUCAACAAUAAUUUCUUUACCUUUGAUCUUAGAUGUGAUAUUAAUGAUUGGCAAUUAAGAACAAUCAACCUCUUCUUCCUCUUCUAUCUCACUGAAUUCACCCACAUUAUCUGAAUUGUCAUCAAUAUUAGCAUAAUUGAAUUGAGAGGCAAGAGUUGAAGUUUCUGUUUUCUUUAAGAUUUUCACUUGUUCACUAUUUGUCAAACUUUCAUUGACAAUGUUAAUCAACUCAUCAGCAUUCAUAAAUUCAUCAAUUUUGACAAUGCCAUAUGGAUAUCUAUCAUUAGGUAUUUUGUCAAAUUGAGCAAUUGUACUUUCGCAAUCAUAAGAAACAACAUCAACUUUUUCACGUUCAUACUCAAGAAUAGGUAAAAGUUUCCUAUGUUGUUCUUUGCUAAUGUCAGAAGAAUGAUGUAAAGCAGUUAAUUUUGCAUACAAUCGUUUGGCAGAAUUACAAUAUAUGUUCCUUUGUGCUAGCAACAACCUAACAUCAUUUGUAAGAUUAUUCCUAUCACAAUCUACAUUUUUUAUCUGCAUUUCAAGUUUGUCUACUCUGCUUCUUUUUAUUUCUAAUUAUCUUCGUGUCUCUCCUAGUUACAUAUUUAAUUUUUGAGCUUCAGUACCGGCAGACACAAUUACAGAAUCAAAAUAAGCCACAGUAUAAUCAAAUGAAGUGAGUUCAACAUCAUAAGCAGAUAAAGGAAUAUUAAAAGAUUCAAGUAUAAGACGUACAUUGGUGGUCAUGGGUGAUUUGUCCGUGGAUUUGGAUACGAAGCACCUCCCUGAAAUUUCCUCUUCGCAAUCUUCAAAACUUGCGAACAUGGCUCCAUGUGUGGGAUGCCUCAUUUCCUCGUCAUCAGAUCCUGAAGACCAGAUCUGAUACGUACCACUCUCUUCAUCAUCAGUUUCACCUUUCGCAACCAGAGACACUCCUUUGGUCUUAGCACGUAUCUCUUCAAUCUUUUCAGAAUAGUAUGCUUCAUCUUUAACUUUUUCUUUCUUUUCUUCUUUCUUUCGCAACAUGCAAUCGGCUGCGAAGUGAUUCGCACCAUUGCAGUAGUGACAGUAAAUUCCUGAGUCACCUUUCAGCUUCUUCACUUCUUUUGCAUCUUUUUGUUUCUCUUCAGCUUUCUCCAAUUUCUUCCUCUCCUAUCCUCCAGUUUUUGUGACUCCACUCUUCGCAUCAGUAGCCUUUCCUUUUGGAUUAAAUGGCUUCUUGAAAAAUUUCUUAACUCUAUUGUUUGAGUAGAAUGCCACAGCUUCAUCAUCUGAAUUCAUCAAAAAUCAUUAAUUAUCUGAAUCAUCUUUUUCAUUCACAUCAACUUCAGAUACCUUUGAAACUAGAGCCAAAGGACCUCCAAUACUCUGUUUUGAUUCUUCAUACAUUUCUGAAACUUCAAUUUCAUGUGUUUUCAGCUGAUUGUAGAGAUCAUUCAAAUGAGUUGUAUCAAAACUCUGUUGAUUCUUAAUCAUCAUGCUCACACUUCGCCAUUCCUUGCGAAGACCCAUAAUGAAAGUUAAAUUGAACUCCAUGAGAGACCUAGUGAUUCCAUACCUAUUGCAAUGAAACAUGAGCUCAUUCAGACAAUCAUAGUAAUUUUCAAGAGUUUCAACAUCCUUUCGUCUGAAUUCUUUCAGUUCAACUAGACAUUGCUUCACAGAAUUGAUCUUCGUCUUUUCGCUACCUUGAUACUUCUCUUUUAGAGUGUUCCAGAUCUCCUUUGUUGUUUUACAACUACAAAUGUAAUUAUAAACCACAAUAGGAAGAGCACCUCUUAGUUCCCUCAUGCACCUCUUUUCAUUAUUCUUCAACCGUUUUUCUUGAUCAGCAACUUCAGCAGAUGCAGCAGAUGGACCAAUUGGUUGAACAUUAGCAGGAGCUUGCACUGUUCCAUCGAUACAAUUCCAAAGUUCUUCAUCAAUUCCAUUUAAGUAAUCUUCCAUUCUAUCAGCCCACUGAUCAUAGUAUUCUGGAAUUAACAUCGGAAUUUUGGUUGAGGAACCAAGCAAGUGAGAGAAGGAAGUCAUUGUAUUCAUGUUGAAGUUCGCCAUUGAUGAACACAGAAAUUUUCAGAAAGCUUGAAAAACUUGAUGAAAUUGAGAAUUGAUCAAUUGAAUUGAUCACAAAUCACUGAUCGAUUACUCGACUAAACAAUUCAAAGACAUAAUCAAUUCAAAUCUGAAGAUCAAAUUUGAUUUUCAAAACCAAAAUGCGCGGAAAAUUUUGAGUAAAGUUGCAACUCAAAAAGCAAAUGAUUCUAACACGAAAAUCAGAUCGAUGCAAUUUGAAUCAUGCUCUGAUACCAAUUGAUGAGAAUUGUUAUUGAGAUUUACUUAAAGCAAAAUAUGAUUUGAGUGAUUGAAGAGUCAAAACACGAAGAGUAAAUAUUAAUCAGAUCUUAUAUUGAUGAAGACUGAUUAUAGAAUAAGCAGAAAGGAUAUUUGUGUUUCGAAAAGUUAUGCUCUACUUUAUCCUCAAUCCCUAUUUAUAGGGAACAUGAGUGUACAAAAAAUAUACUAAGUCUAAACAUUACACUUCGCAUAAAUAUGACUUAGUAAAAUAACACAAACAUGCGAAACUAUACAAACACAAUAUUCAACUUUUACAAUUUUGCAUCUACAAAAUAAAUUCAAGAUGCCUUUUGCUCCAUUUACUGGGGUGAACCAUCAUGGAUAGUCUAUACUUUUUGGUGGAGCAUUGCUAGAAAAUGAAAAGGAAGAAACUUUUGUAUGGUUGUUUGAGCAUUUCCUAAAAUGUAUGUUUAGCAAGUAUCCGAAGACUAUUAUUACUGAUCAAGACAAAGCUAUGGGAAAUGCAAUAAAAAAAAGUGUUUCCAAAUGCUCGACAUCGGUUUUGUACGUGGCAUAUAAAAAAGCAUGAAUUGGAUCACCUUCGACUGUACGUUGCCCGUUAUAGUGAUUUUCAAGAAUUGUAUAAAGAAUGGGUAAUGAGUGACACAAUUGAAGAAUUUGAAACUAGGUGGGAAGUUAUAUGUGAUAAGUAUAAACUCGAAAACAAUUGUUGGAUAACUGAUAUGUAUAACCAACGAAUACAUUGGGCUAAAGCUUUCUUAAAGGAUAUUUUCUUGGCCGGCAUGACAACAAGUGGACGAAGUGAGAGUAUUAAUUCAUUUUUUGAUGAUUUUGUUAACUGAGUACCAUGUUGAAUGAUUUUUGAGUACAAUAUGACAAAGCAGUUGCUUCACGAAGGGCCACCGAAUAAGAUGAAGAUUUUAAGACUAUGAACUCGAGGCCGAUUCUUUCCUCAAUACAUCCAAUUGAAGCAAAGGCAGGUGAGUGUUAUACUCGAAAGGUUUUUGAGAUUUUCAAAAAAGAAUGGAUAGAAGCUACUAGCAAUUUAAUGCAUGAGACUCUAAGCAAAAGGACAGAAGAAAUCAAGUAUCGAGUUGGGCAACUGGACGUUGACAAAAAAUAUUGGCGGAUUGUUAGCUUUUGUUUGUUAAACAAGAUGCACGUCACAUGUUCUUGUGCUAAGUAUGAGACAUGUGGGAUUUUAUGCAAACAUAGCCUAUAUGUGAUGAAGAAGAAGCAUGUUGACACACUUCCGAGUCACUACAUUUUACCUCGGUGGACCCUUAAUGCCAGGUAUAAGGUGGGUAAACGUAGCAUCAGACUCGGAGAAAUGAAUAACGAAAAUGGAGUUAGUGCUUACACGUUAUGGUGUGUCCGUUCAAAUUUUAAUAAAUUAAUCGAACAAGCAAAAGACUCCCCUUCAGAAAUAGAAAACGUCAAUAACAUAUUGAUAAAGCUCUUACAAUACCAAGCAAUCCGGAAAAAACCUAUACCGGAUGAGAACGUAUCUCAAGGUUCUUGUGUGAGAAUUUCACAAGUUGAUAUGAUGCCUCAAUUAUCUGUACGAGAUCCCCUUGGUCCAACUAACACAAAAGGGCGUCCUAAAAUUUCUAUUAGAAUCAAUUCUUCUUUAGAAGUGCCAAAAAAACGAACAUGUUCUUACUGUCAAGGAUUGGGUCAUUAUGCUACUAGUUGUUCUAAAAGAAAGGUACUUAUAGUAUUAACUUACUUUUUCAUUAUUUUAGAGUUCUUAUAUUUAUAUAAUAAUCUAUUUAUAUUUUCAUGUAACAGGUGGAUGAAGCGUUGCAAGAGAAAAAAUGAUGAGAUAUGUAGUUAAUGUGAGAAAGUGAAAAAUCUAUAUGGUUCAUGACAUUUUGUUUUGGUUAAUUGUCCUCUUUUUCUAAUUUUGGCUGAUUAUUCUUUUUUCUAGUUUUGGUUAAUUGUCUUUUUUUUCCAGUUUUGGACAUAAAUCGUGUAAGUUGCUAUUUUGGAAUGAAAAUUUUGAAUGGUUAAUGCUAUUAUGUGUAAACUGUGAAAGUACGGGGGUAUUUUGUGUAAAAAAUGAAAGUAUGAUGCUAUUAUAUGUUAAAAUUGAAAAUACAGGGGUAUUAUGUGCGAAAAACAAAUGUACGAUGCUAUUAUGUGUAAAAAAGAAUGUAUGAUGCUAAUAUAUAUUUAAAAUGAAAGGAAAGGGAUAUUAUGAGUAAAAAAUGAAAGUACGAGGCUAUUAUAUGUUAAAAAUGAAAGUAUGGGGGUAUUAUGUGUGAAAAAUAAAUGUAAGAUGCUGUUAUGUGUAAAAAAAGAAUGUAUGAUGCUAAUAUAUAUUAAAAAUGAAAGGACAGGGGUAUUAUGGGUAAACAAUGAAAGUACGAUGCUAUUAUAUGUUAAAAAUGAAAGUACGGGGGUAUUAUGUGUGAAAAAUAAAUGUAAGAUGCUAUUAUGUGUAAAAAAGGAAUGUACGAUGCUAUUAUAUAUUAAAAAUGAAAGGACAGGGGUAUUAUGGGUAAACAAUGAAAGUACGAUGCAAUUAUAUGUUAAAAAUGAAAGUACGGGGGUAUUAUGUGUGAAAAAUAAAUGCAAGAUGCUAUUAUAUGUAAAAAAGGAAUGUACGAUGCUAUUAUAUAUUAAAAAUGAAAGGACAAGGUAUUAUGGAUAAAAGAUGAAAGUACAAUGCUAUUGUUGGUUAAAAAUAAUAGUAGGCUGCAGUUAAAGGAUUGAAAAAGAAAGUAUAUUGUAUAAGUGUUAAAUAUAAACUUAAGCUGCUAUUAUUUGUUAGAAAUUAAUGCCUUAUUAAGACUUUUGCAAUAAGUUGAAAGUGUAAUUAUGUUAAUAAAAAGAUUUGUUCAAAUACAAUGUUGUUAAUAAGUAUAAUGCAACAGUAACCAAAUCUAGUAAUCAACAUAGUCUUUUUGAGAUUUGAAAUAAUACUUUUAUUAUAAUAAAAAACCCCACUAAUGGCUGGGAAUGUACAUAUUACAAACUGAAACAAAAGACCAAAAAUAUGGUAGCACCAUAUAUAAAGUUACCAAAUCCUUACAACUAAUUACAACUAAUGAUAAUGAACUUUCAAAUCUUCCAAACAUUAAUGGUGGCCAUUAAAGCCAACACUUUUAGAGGCGAUAUGCUUGGCUACCUACAUGAUGUGCACUUCGUUCCAUACUUUUUAUUAGCUUUUCAACUUCUUCCAACAUCAAUACAUCACAAUAAUAAUUCAAAACCAUGUUGUAAGUAACCAAAUCAAGUGGAAACCCGUUUCUUCUCAUAAAGUUCUUGAUUGCUAGUGUUUAUUGAAGUAAAAAGUCCAAUAUCAGUAGAGGUGAUAUUGAAUCUGGAACAACAAAACUGAGUUAAUUAUACUAUGAAUGGAGAAUUAUGGGAAUACCACCAUAAUUAUAUGCAGAUUCCUUCAAUCGACAGAGGAGCCUUAACAUCCAAAACAAUAAUAUCACAUCAAAAUCUGCUCUUUGUAAAAUGGAUCUUUUAGCAUGACCAAAAAACUCGAUUUCAGAACCGCCUUAACAUGCUGCCAGUUGUUAUCACAUCAAUUGAACAAAUGACAAGAAUAUCACAUUCUACUGUCAUCAUUACUUGGAAGUUGGUGUACCAAUUCCAAAUGAAAGGAAAAACAUUUGAUUCCAAGUUAUUUUUUAUAAUUAAUUCAUGUAAUUUUUAUUAGGAUCGGUUAAUGUUUAACGAGAAUCUUAACCUAUAUGCUGCUAAAUAGCAAACAAAAGCAACAAUAAGAAGUGAAGUUCAUUCAUGCAUUCCAUCAAACACUUGAUAUGCACAGAUUUGAUCACAAAAUGUUACUAGCACCGGAAAUCGGAUGGAAAUGAAAAUGAGGAAUAAAUAUGGGGGGUAAUAAGGGCUACCCCCGGCUCUAUGCUAGUUCCGCCAAUGGCUUCAAUCGUUGGUGAGUGAGUAAAUUAACAAUAAAGGAAAUCUGACCAGGGCUUCAUAUGAAUCGACAAUCUGAAAUUGCAUAGCAGAAAUAUGAAAUUGGUUACACUUACAUCUUUUUCCGGCCACCUCCGGCUAUACGCCGCCUCUGUCGUCUCCGAUGGUCAGCGUCACCAACAACAACGAUUACCCUCUUUUUUUGGUGUUCCCGUGACCACAUAGCAACACAGGGGACCGAGAACCUACAUACGUUCAAUUAUGGCUUCUGUAUCUCGAUUUCUUUCAACAAAUGCCCUAUCUUUUUAUUGCUUUGAAUCUGCUCCCAUCUACUCGUCUCAUCUGAAUAUACGACCACAUACACCCAAAACGAGGUGUAUUUUGUUGUCUUC